GACUGAUCUCAUGAAAUGGCGUAUGUAUGACACGCCAAUUCACAUUUCCAUUUUUGGCGUGCUAUCAACACGCAUAAUCGCUUUUCAGCGUGUUUAUGAACACAGUUGACUUAACGUUACAUUACUGUAUUUAUAAAUAAAUGACCUACCCCAACCCCGUCCCUAAACCUACCCGUCACUGGGUUAAUACCAUUUAUGAGUCUUCCCUUACCAUCCUAGGGAAAAAAAUAUCGCUCCCCAGAUGUAGAUCUACAUUUUGCUUCGUUUCGCUCGGACAUUUAACGGCGUUGUACAUACACGCGGAAUCACUCAGACAUUUAACGGCGUAGACAUACACGCAUACACGCGGAUAGCUCAAAAUGCGUAUAGAUAACACGCCACUUGACUUGAAAUUGGCGUGUAUGUUUACGCAAAAGUCAUGAUGCCAUGUUGGAA